GUUGCACGUGAUUUCCACAGAAGAGUCGCCAAGCCUGGAAGACGCAUAAAUACCACACAGGCCACACAAAAACACCUGACAGAGCACCCCAUGACCACCCAAUGGACGCGCAAUAACUGCAGCAAAAAUCACAGCA